UGAGGAAGCCGAGGUAACAAAGUACAUAUAGUAUGCAAGUCGAGGAUAUAUACUAUAAAAAAUCUUUAUACAGAGAAUAGACUGGAAUUAAAUUAGUUAUGAGACAGAUCGAUUUUAUCUUAUUGGUAAAAAGAACCGAAUAAGCGCGCGAAUAUAGAUGCCGAAGUAUGAGAUACAGAGAUAUACUAGACGUUUAACGUUUUGAAACGUAGCUUAAAGUUUUAUGAAAACAUAAUUCACGGAACAUCGUAAUUUACAUUUUAAUCUUGACAUAAUUAGAUCAAGUAGAUCGCAUCAUGAUAGAAACUAACAAACGAAAGAAUAUCAUCCACGGGUAAAUGAAUAAGAGAACAGCGACGAAUUGGACGAUAAGAUACAAAUAAAACAAAAAAACAUUAAGACAAACUGUGGCCAUUAUAAUUUCACAUACGACAAAUAUGAAAAAAUAUUAAAGAUUUACGAAAACUUUAACUUUCGUGAAAUCGUGUGCAAACGCUUCACAGUCUGGAAGAAUUUAAUAAAUCUUAUUCAGUAAGCAAUAAUUUGUCAGAUGUGCACGUUGAAUGAUAAAACGGACUCUUUAAACGGCAUAAUUUUACAGAAAGCGUAUAAUGAAGUAAAUGGCACCCGUUCCAUCGCUUUCUCUCAGCCUUGCGCUGCUUUUCUCACUCCUCCCUCUUCUUUAAUGAGCUAACUAUUUCCUCGUCGUCGAGUCAAACGUUUCCUAUAUCAGCGAAGUUAAAUACGAAACCCGACCCAAACUAAUUAUCCACGAUACCUCAAUUAAUCCUUCUUGCUAGCUGUAAGGACGCGGCUAUUUGAUUUCUCAGUUAUGUACAGAGAAAAAGUCUGUAACAAACAGGUCAACAACGUUCGUAAUCAGACGUGCAAUUUGGAAAGUAUGAGAUAGGAACAUCAUCGAUACUGUAUUACUGGUACUAUUACGCUUUACGUCCAUCAUUGUCAGAAUUAUUGAUUCCCUCUCGAAAACAACUGAAUAAAAUCCUAUUCGUAAACAGAUCAUGGUAGACGUUCAUUAGUGUAAUUACUGGACCUGAGCGAGGUUGAUGAGUUAGAUAUCAGUGUACAUUCAAUCAUAUCUGCGAGGAACAGGUGAUUUUUAGCAGAUAAUGGAUAUGUAUAUCCUCAUACAAAAGUUGGAGAAUGUGUAGUUUAAAUUUAUUCAAGUGAAGAAGUGUUGAAAGUUGUAAAGAAGUGCUAUUUCAUUCGAUAUUUAAUAGGGUAAAGAAAGUACGUAUAGAGAGGUGAAUAUUAAUAAUUUUGUUGUAAUAUGAAUAUAGUUCAAAGAGUCUAUCCAAUUAAAUCACGUGUGAAUAUUUAAACAAUAUUUGGAAAUUUGAAAUAUCAUUAUUAUUACAUGUCGAAUAUAACAUAUGGAUCUUAUUAUAAUACGUAUAAAAUUUUACGCAUCUGAAUUAAAAAGGGAAUUUUUAAUUGAAAAUAUAUUUCACCUGUAUAAUAUAAAUUUGAUGCUUCCUAUCAAAGACAAUUUCCACACGAAUUUACAAACAAUUCCACUUUAUACUAUUGAACAAUAUAAAGUUUGGAUACGAUCUGAAAUUUUCUAUACUAUUUACAAAUUUAAACUUAAAUAGCUAUACGAAUUUAAAUAGCUUACUUCAACAAGUAUCUUAAUUCACGAAAGGAAAUAUAAAUUUCUAAUAAAUUUAUCAAGUAGGAAUAUCAGCUAAGCAAUUAUCAACGAAACAAAACCCGACCAUUCUCAGUGCACCAGCUCUUCACUUGAUAAGCUCGAAAAACCGGACUAUCCAUAACUGAGUUUCGUUGGCUAUCAUACUUAAUCUCGAUCGAUUACUGCGGGACACGCUACGAAAUCAGCUCUGUUGACGCUUUCCCCUGAAAUGAAAACAUCGUUGACCGUUGAUGUUACAAGGACUCAGGAGGAACGUAAGUUUGGCCUGACAUUGAUCGGGAAAUAGUCUCCAUGAUACGGUCCUCAACGCAGACGUCGGAGCCUCUACCAUGGACACCGGGACCAAGGUGAACUAGGUUUACACAACGGCGAAGAGGUAAGAGAUCCUCUUCAUUUUAUCUCCAGUAUCCGCAAACCGUCCCUGGUAACCCUGGCUCGCUCUCCAACCAGCCUCAGGAGCUCGCCACAGCCUUUUUAUUUCCCUUUGAGCCGGAUGCGAUCCGACGUGCGAAAAAUCUGGCCUGCUCGCAUCCGAUUAAACUUAUAAUCAAACACGUCUAACACGCGAAGUUAUCGAAUCGUUUUCCCGCUUCGUGCGGAAAUUCAGUUUCAGAUAUAUCAUGAGGAAACUGAUUUAUCGAAUGCUGUCUACGCGAGGAAUCACACAAACGCUGAAAAGGCGAAAAGACUCCGCUUCUUAUUAUGACAUCUAUGAUUACAUUACACUGCCAGACAUAUGUAUUGGAGCGUUUAUAACGUAAAAUACUAAAUGAAAUAAAAUGUGAUAGUGUCUUUAAAUAAGCGAGGCGAACAUUUUUUUAACAAAUGACCUAAUAAUUACUUUACUUUUAUAUUCUUUGUAUUAAUAAAACGCGAAUGAAAAUUUUUACGUAACCAUUAUACUGAAGUUUAAAUAUUCUUCUUGACAUUCUGUAACGUUUUACUGAUAUUCUACCGUUUGUCUUUUUCGCUUGGACUCACUGUAUAUAAAAAGCUAAAAUGUCGGGUCUACUUGAAACGGUUUCAUUUUAUAUUAGAAACAGUGCUUUCGUAUCAUCCAUAUAUACAUAUAUCAUCAUAUAUAUAUAACAUGUAUUUGCCUUUAGUGUAAUAGAAUUUUAAGAGAAGCAAUAAAGUACUUUAAACGUU